GGGCAAAAAGUGGAACAGAAAAUGGAUACCUCUAAUUUAUCGGCGUCUUUGCUUGGAGUAGCUCGGGGGUCCAACACUUUGAGAUCCUCUACCGGGAGAAUCCAUUGAUCCUCUAAAAGAAGCAUAAGCUGCUUUUGCUGAAUCUGGGACAGAAUCCGGAGAAAUCGACUCCACAAAGCAUGCUGUAUUGAUUCGUGUCCUCUCGAGUUCAGAUUGAAGUAGCUCAGAACUGUACUGCUGUGCAAGAGCAAUCAGAUCAUCAGGUGAUAUAGUCCCCCCUUGCUGCCUUUCAUCCUGAAGUCCAUCAUCAUUUCCACGUGUUUGCCGACGACUAUUGGUUGGAGUCUCAACAGUCUCUGGGACACUCUCAGUUGCUUUCUCUAAAAGGACCCCUUGUAAAGUUUUUAG
rnacentral:misc_RNA from 1 species